rnacentral:rRNA from 1 species
CAGUCGCCACGGUAAUACGAAGGGGGCUAGCGUUGCUCGGAAUCACUGGGCGUAAAGGGUGCGUAGGCGGGUCUUUAAGUCAGGGGUGAAAUCCUGGAGCUCAACUCCAGAACUGCCUUUGAUACUGAGGAUCUUGAGUUCGGGAGAGGUGAGUGGAACUGCGAGUGUAGAGGUGAAAUUCGUAGAUAUUCGCAAGAACACCAGUGGCGAAGGCGGCUCACUGGCCCGAUACUGACGCUGAGGCACGAAAGCGUGGGGAGCAAACAGGAUUAGAUACCCCGGUAGUCCCUGUCUCUUAUAC